GUGGGGAAUUGUUCGCAAUGGGCGCAAGCCUGACGACGCAACGCCGCGUGGAGGAUGAAGACUUUCGGGUCGUAAACUCCUGUCGAAUGGGACGAACGGAUCAUGGGUUAAUAACCUGUGGUCGUGACGGUACCGUUAAAGGAAGCCCCGGCUAACUCCGUGCCAGCAGCCGCGGUAAUACGGGGGGGGCAAGCGUUGUUCGGAAUUACUGGGCGUAAAGGGCUCGUAGGCGGCCAACUAAGUCAGACGUGAAAUCCCUCAGCUUAACUGGGGAACUGCGUCUGAUACUGGAUGGCUUGGAUUCGGGAGAGGGAUGCGGAAUUCCAGGUGUAGCGGUGAAAUGCGUAGAUAUCUGGAGGAACACCGGUGGCGAAGGCGGCAUCCUGGACCGAUAUUGACGCUGAGGAGCGAAAGCUAGGGGAGCAAACGGGAUUAGAAACCCGAGUAGUCC
rnacentral:rRNA from 1 species